AACGUAGGUUCCGAGCGUUAUCCGGAUUUACUGGGCGUAAAGCGCGUUCAGGCGGUUUGGCAAGUCGGGCAUGAAAUCUCUCGGCUCAACCGGGAGAGGUUGUCCGAUACUGCUGGACUUGAGGGCAGUAGAGGGUGGUGGAAUUCCCGGUGUAGUGGUGAAAUGCGUAGAUAUCGGGAGGAACACCAGUGGCGAAGGCGACUUCCUGGCCUGUUCUUGACGCUGAGGCGCGAAAGCUAGGGGAGCAAACGGG
rnacentral:rRNA from 1 species